rnacentral:sRNA from 1 species
AGUUUGUCAGAGUACGUACUUCCUUGAGAUUACUACUCGGAAGCUGAGAACCCUGGAGCUCCUGGGAAACCUAGUUUUUGCCUCCACUACCUUACUGAUCAUGCAUUUGCAAGAUUAAGUAUUUCCAAUAUUUAUUAUUAUAAACUACAUAUUAUAUUUCUAUGUUACUAUCGCUGUAGUAUAUGACCUGGAACGGCUAGACUAAGAGUAAUCAAAAAGAGGAGCCGACUAGACACAGCCAGGAAGAGUUUCUCCCACCGGGAGACCAGACCAGCAAGAAAACUGGCACCCUCCAAGCAGGUUGUUGAAAGGAAGGCAUUGAAUGUGGGCAGAGGGUGAUGCAGAUGUUUCUCAUUUUUUUUCUUAGAAUAUGGGAUUUUGAAAAACACGAAAACAUCCUAAGAAAUACCAGGAAGGAGGCCCACAGUGAAACACAAAUGAAACUCAAGGCAACUGCCUACAUUUUUGGCUAAAAUAAAAAAUCAUAGAUCUUAGGACAAAGGGGGCAAGGAACUAAAUCAAAGGACAAAGCUGAAGACCAAGUGGACUGAAAAGAAGAUGGAAUACAUUUUCCCAAACACUGGUGUUCUCUGGAGUUGGCUUAUCAACAUCUUGUGUAAUAGUCAUAUAAUUGUCCCUCAUUUCUAUCUCCUCCUAAAACUAGAGAAAUGGCCUAUUAAUUUUAGAAGGUGUAUAAUUAUCACAAAGCCCUCAGAUUAAGGUCCAGGACACAGAGUGGAAUAUAUGAGCACACAGAAAUGUAUACCUUUAGAUUGAACUUGGAUGAUUUGCCUUUUGCCUGUCACCACCAGCAAAUCCUGAAAUUGGAUCUCUUGAAACUUACGGUUUUCCUUCAGCAGCAUAGGAGUUAAGUUUUCUUCUAGCUUGCCCUAGGUUCUCUCAGGAACUGGGAAAGCAGUUCUCCCAAAUCCCAAGUUAAGUUAUUCAAGACAAUAUAAGGCAGAGCUAAAUUCUUCUGUUGAAGAAUUUAACAUGACUCAAACCAUAAGGAAAUCUAAAGAAGGCUGCCAAACUAUUUCACUGCUUCCCUCCCCCACU